UACAUCAUCCAAGACAUAAGACUUGUUACGAUUCUAAUGAGUAUACUACUCGUGAAAACAUUAACCCUUGAGGUUUCAUAGUGUCAAGAACAAGUACUUGGUGUUAAAGGAUGAUUACUUUUGAAUACAUAUAUAUUCUUGUGUUUUAACUUCCUAAGUCCCUAAACGAACAUAUUCAACCUUCUAACCUCAUCAACUUCGUCACAUUGGAUAAUCGGAAAGCAUAUGCGAAUUUGUCGAGGAUUGAUGAUGCUAUGAAAACGGACUAGCAAAGAUGCCUAGAUACACAUAUAGACGUUAGGU
rnacentral:lncRNA from 1 species